UCUCCCUGACGAGAGGACUGGAGGAGGCACCUCUCCGAGUCUUAGACUUCAGUCUGAGACUUAGUGAGAGGAGCCCCGAGGAGACAACCCUUCUCUCUUCUUUACCUGUUCUUUUCUUUUACUUACAGACGCAAGCUGAGGCGCGGAGCUUUAGAAAGUUCGCAGUGGUUGGAAGCAGUCCUUGCGCAGUGGGGCCACUCUCUGCAGAGCCAGAGGGUGAGUCGGCUUCUUGGUGAGCGCCUAAGAGAAUGGAUCGCAGGUCCCGGGCUCAUCAGUGGCGCCGAGCUCGCCAUAAUUACAACGACCUGUGCCCGCCCAUAGGCCGCCGGGCUGCUACCGCUCUCCUCUGGCUCUCCUGCUCCAUCGCUCUCCUCCGCGCCCUAGCCUCUUCCAACGCCCGCGCCCAGCAGCGGGCUGCCCAGCGCCGGAGCUUCCUUAACGCCCACCACCGCUCCGCUGCCGCUGCAGCUGCCGCACAGGUACUCCCCGAGUCCUCUGAAUCCGAAUCUGAUCACGAGCACGAGGAGGCUGAGCCUGAGCUGGCCCGCCCCGAGUGCCUAGAGU
rnacentral:lncRNA from 1 species